UAAAAACUUUGAAUGUGAUGCAAUACCACAACUGCAUUAAUUCUCUUGAUUUUGACUGAAAAGUUUACCUUUACUACAGCCAAACUCUUUGCACAUAGAUUUUUUUUUUCCUUUCAGAAUGUGAUUAGAUCUGAUCUGAAUAUGUGGGCUUGAACCUGCAGCAUUGUGGUGUGAACUGUUCCAGUCACACUGUAAAAUGUUGCUUUAUCUUGAAAAAUAAAGAGAUGUUGAGAGGAGAUGGUUAGAUACUUGUCACAGGUCGGAGCUGACCACCGAUGUUGUGAGUCACGCCCCUUCCUAAUUUCCACCUCGAGGAGGUCCCAAGAACACCCCAAUGACCAGACACACGAGAGCCGGUAAGUAAAUUAAAACAACUUUAUUAAAUUACUUAAAAAAAAAAAAGGGUAUGGGGAAGGGAGGCUAAAAUCCAACCCUCCCUUUGGAGAGUAACAGUCUCGAGUCUCUUAGACUCCGUCACGGGAGAUCUCAGGUGAGUCCUUCACUCCUCUUUCCUUCUGGCUAUGUAACGACAUUCAGCUUAUUCACAAGUGCCCCUUUGUUCUGGCUUGCAGGACGACUGUCCAGGGCCCUCUCCUUUCCUGGACGUAACAGAUACAAGUGGUAAGUAUUGAGAGUUUGGAUGCACAAUGGAUACCUGCUGCUACUUUUGACGAACUCCAAGGCGACCCAGCGGAUUAUACUCCCGGUCGUCCAGAUGCUGGGGGAACUGCCCAAGGGCUGCCGGGAUCCAACUAAAACCGUACUGCUCCUGGAUACUUCUCCUGCUGCCACGUGCCCUGUCGAAAAGGCCUCCUUCGGCGAUACUUCCGGUGAGUCUUCCUGUUUUCAACCACUCCGAAUUUGUUACACAUAUCCAUGGAGCAUUUCACAGUUAAGUAGACAUCCCAAUAUACUCAGCCCGGUUUCUGUUUCUGCCAAACCCUUGUCUCCGUCUUUGCCCAGCCAACAAUAUCCUCUGCCUUCUUUCCACUGUACUCCCCCGAACCCUCCAACUCACGCAGGGUCCGGGUCGCCGUAUCAGCUCACAUAAAACAAAGAACUCCCCUCCUCCUCUGCAGUUUCUGAGGCCCUCUUUAUACUCCUCCUUCUCUUCAUACUGCCCAAUCCACGAUCGCCCCGUUCAUCUAUCCACCUGCGAUCAAUAAAACCCUAAUUUCCCUUCCCGGAGUUCCCGGUGUUUGAGAAUUAUGGUCCGGGCGGAACCAAUCUCCGUCAUUUUUUAGUUCCGCCCUUACAAAGUCACUCCGUGACAUACUGCAGGCAUGUCAGACGCUGCUUCUGCCAACAGAUUACCAGCAGAGCUCAGUCCAGUCAUAGCAGAUGGGUCUGAGUUUGAUCUGUUACGAUAUGACAGAAGGAAAUCUACGUUUGUCAGAGAGGGAAACUCAAACAAAACACAUUUACAAAUAUAUACUGUGAUCAAAGGGCAGAUAUAAACAGGAUGUUCAGCAUUAGGACACUAUUUGUAAUUUAACAUUUAAAACUGUGCAAAUAUCCGUGCUUAUAUCCAAACGAACAGAACAAUGUCUGCAAAUAAAUUCAAUCUUAAGCAAAUUUACUCUUCCCAUUCUAGAAGAAGAAUAGAGCACUUUUCAUAAACUGUCAGUGUGUCUUGUUUUCAGUCACACAUAAAGACAUCAUUCCCACAAAUCAACACAAACUUUAAAAUCAUCAAAAUGAGAAUGAGUCUAGAGAUAGAUGUCUGAGCCUGAGUUUGAGUCCUUCUCUGAUCCCACGCCCAUCUCUCUUCAUGUCUCUCCCUAACCAUCCACGCUCAGAUAAAGGCAAAAAAUAGCCAUAGAGCCAAAAAUAGAUCUAAACAAAAAUAAAUCAGCUGCAAUUCAGAGAAUCUGUGAUUUUGUUUUAUGUUUUAGCUACUUGGGUUCACGCUUGUGGUCUAUUAAUUCAAGAGAGUCAAGUUCAUCACAUUUGACAAGUAAAGAACCAAGUGUUGAAGAAGACACAUAUACAGGAGAGAUGUGAGCAUGUAUGUUUUAAGA
ensembl:lncRNA